GAUGCCGUUUCAGCUUCGCUCGGUUUCCCCGGGUCGUACGUCGGCUGUGUUUGCAUUUCAGAUCAUUUCUAAUUUAUUUCUACAUACAUGGCACAUACAUCAUCGCGGACCCGUCGCUUGCAUUUUAAAUAUUUCAGCCCCGUUGAGAUCGAGAUGUAAAACACGUCAAAACCUGUGUAUACGCUUCCAGCCGUUUGACCCCAGAGACGUUUCCCAGACAGGAAAUGCACUGAAACAAGUCUUUCAAACAACUUCAUGUGGACUUAGCACGCGGUGCCUGCGAGCGUAUGUUGGGUUUAUCAGCGCUUAGACGCCAGGAAUGUUUUGGCUCUCAGCGAAUCGGAAAAAUAGGAGAAGAAAAGAAGAGCGAGCGUCGGAAUGCCUUCCCAAUUCAUUAUCUUCCUCCUCCUCCUCCUCCUCCUCCUCUGGAGCAGUACGUCCUUAACUCCGUAUCAGCCAGGACACGUCCGUCAUCCUUUAACCAGCAGAAAUAAUCCAGACACCUGCGGGCUGUUGGGUGAGAUGACCGGACAUCACAGGGAGAGGGAGAGAAGGGAAUGAACCCUGAGCUACAGGGACCUGGGUCAACCCAGGGUGUAGGACACAGGCUCUGUGUGUGUGUGUCUGUCUGUGUGUGUGGGUGGGUGGAUAUGAGUGUGUGUGUGCACGUGUGUGUGUGUGUGGGUGGAUACGGUACGGGUGUGUGUGUGUGUGUGUGCGGGUGUGUGCGUGAGUGUGUGUGUGUGUGUGUUUGUGCGUGUGUGGGUUUGUGCGUUAUGCAAUUGCAUGUGUGUCUGUGAGUACAAGAGACUGCAUGCAUAAGUACAUAGUGUAUUGUACACAGUAAAAUGUUCUUUGUUAAAUAAUUAAUAGAGAGCAUUUUUCUCUGACUGAGAACAUUUCAUUCCAACUGGACUCAUAAAACUCAGAUUAGAGUCGAACUGAA